GAUGAACGCUGGCGGCGUGCCUAAUACAUGCAAGUCGAGCGAACGGACGAGAAGCUUGCUUCUCUGAUGUUAGCGGCGGACGGGUGAGUAACACGUGGAUAACCUACCUAUAAGACUGGGAUAACUUCGGGAAACCGGAGCUAAUACCGGAUAAUAUUUUGAACCGCAUGGUUCAAAAGUGAAAGACGGUCUUGCUGUCACUUAUAGAUGGAUCCGCGCUGCAUUAGCUAGUUGGUAAGGUAACGGCUUACCAAGGCAACGAUGCAUAGCCGACCUGAGAGGGUGAUCGGCCACACUGGAACUGAGACACGGUCCAGACUCCUACGGGAGGCAGCAGUAGGGAAUCUUCCGCAAUGGGCGAAAGCCUGACGGAGCAACGCCGCGUGAGUGAAGAAGGUCUUCGGAUCGUAAAACUCUGUUAUUAGGGAAGAACAUAUGUGUAAGUAAAUGUGCACAUCUUGACGGUACCUAAUCAGAAAGCCACGGCUAACUACGUG
rnacentral:rRNA from 1 species